GCGAGCGUAGCUCAGUUGGUUAGAGCACUUGACUGUGGCUCAAGGGGUCGUGGGUUCGAAUCCCAUCGCUCGCC
rnacentral:tRNA from 1 species